CAUUCUUUCACUGCGGACCAUGCUAAAGCAGGCAGUGGACCCUUUGACCCUUGGCCCCUAUUUUGCUGACCCUCCCUGAGCCAGACACCAGGGAAGGGGCACAGGGAGCUGGCUACUUAUUGACAGCUUCAAUUCAUGCAGACUUUCAGGGCUGCUUUUUACUAUCAAAAACAGAAUCUACUUCUCAAUAAGAGAGAUGAUAUAAAUGAUGUCACUUUUACUGGUAAUUUCAAAGUUUGGGUUUAGUCGUGUAGAAGAUUAGCACUGGUUUUCUUUGUCAUAUUAAAUGUGGAAAAUUGCUAAGGGCUAUGGAAUAAAAGCUUUGAUUGACACAUUGUCAAAAGACUAGAAUACACAGGAAUUGUUUAGAUUAGGUUGUGUGGUUUUGUUUUGUUUUUCUUUUUUUUUUUGUCUUUUUAGGGCCCCACUUGCGGCAUACAGAAAUUCCCAGGCUGGGGGUCAAAUCGGAGCUGCAGCUGCCAGCCUACACCACAGCCACAGCAACUCGGGAUCCGAGCCUCAUCUGCAACCUACACCAUAGCUCACAGCAACGUCAGAUCCUUAACUCACUGAGUGAGGCCAGGGACUGAACUCUCGGAUCCUCAUGGAUCUUAGUUGGUUCAUUAACUGCUGAGCCACGAGCCACGAGCCACGACGGGAGCUCCCUAGAUUUGUUUGAUGUAAAAGCUUCAUUUAAGGGAAAGAACUGCUUUCAAGUUCUUCAGCUUUUGUCAUUUCUGUUUUGGUGCAUUGUGUCCCUGUCGGAUGAUUGGUGCAUCUUAGGGUGGUCAUUCAGAGCUGGAAAGUAGAUUGUCUCUAAUGUUUACCCUUUCUUGGCAUUGCAGUUUCCUAAAAAAUCUGAAAUAAGAGCCAAAUGGUCCUCUCUACAGGUAGGGAUGACUUUUCUUCUCCAGCUUAAACUUAAAAAUAUAGCCUGUUUAUUAGCUUUUGUUGGCACUGAAUAGUGCUUAGACACUAUAUAUUUCACAGCAGACAUUUUCUCUACUUACUGUUGUGAGCAGUUGGUUAAUUUGAAGAACUCUUACUUCUCUUGAUCCUUGCUAUGACAAAAAUCAAUGUCCACAGCACAGUCUGAAUUAAUAGGGCUCAAACUCAUUAGGCCAUGAAAAUGGUUUAAUCAACAGUGAACCCUUUAAAGACCUUGUCAGAUAGUAUUUUAAACCAGAUUCAAGGGAGAAAAUGGUUAGCAUUGAAAAAUAUUCUUUGUUUCAAAGUUUACGUUCUUUCUUUUUAAAGCCCCCUCGAAUAACUUCUGGAGUUGCCCCUAUGUUCCAUUUAGAGGGAAAAAACACCAUUUUUUUGUACUGGACCAUAGCCAUUCAAUCUAAUUACUAAUCUCUUUUUAGCAAUAGCCCUUUCAGACACUGAAAGACUCUUUGUUUCUUCAUCCAUAUGUCUAUCCUGAGGGAAGAUUCUGGGUGAGCAUUUUGAUGCUCUUGCUCCUGGGUUCUCUUUCUGCAGUUUUAGCCUUCUCUGCCCCCUCAGCUUUACUUCCUCCCACCUCCUUAAGUUUGGCAAAGGUUGGCUGAUUGGUUGGUUGUGGAGUAUUCAGGAGUUGGUCGCUGUGUAGGUGUGGAUCAGCAGUCCCUUCCAAGCCUCCUUUUCAUUCUCAUGAAAGUUCUAAUUAGAGUGUACUGUGAGUUGUUUGUGAUAGGUGAAGCCUGAAAGGGGAAACCUAUAUUAAUUAAUAAACUGAAUUUCUCUGUCUGAUCACUUUUUAUUUUGGGGUGUGGAGCUUAAGUUUAAAUCCUGGUUCUGAAAAGUACUAACUGCAUAGCUUAUCGAACAGUUGUCACUUAAAGCCUUUUUGGCGAUAUUUGUUCAUUUAUGAAACGGCGAGAGUGAUAGUGCCCAUCCUACAGGGAGAGUGUCAUGUGUGUAAAGUGCUUAGGAUGAUACGGUCCAGUCAGUAAAUAUUUGCAUAUUUGUUACUGUCUCUACUCACAGUUUGCCUUUUAUUUUAUUUUUUUAGAGCUGCACCCACACCAUGUGGAAGUUCCCAGGCUAGGGGUCAAAUUAGAGCUACAGCUGCCAGCCUACACUUCAGCCACAGCCAAGGCAACAUGGGAUCCGAGCCGCGUCUGCCACCUACACCACAGCUCACAGCAACACUGGAUCUUUAACCCACUGAGCGAGGCCAGGGAUCAAACCCGCAUUCUUAUGGAUACUAGUGGGAUUUGUUUCCGCUGAGCCACAAUGGGAACUCCCACUACUCACAGUUUGGAUGAAAAACAGCUACUGUGAGUUUUAAGCAUGAAAAGGACAUUGUCACAAUUGAAUAUCUGGGAAGAUUGCUUACAUUGUUGAGCGGAAGUUGGUUGUGGGGCCAGGUGCGCAAAGACAGGAAGACUUGCCUUUAUGUUGCAGGCUUGACUAUGUCCUUUCCUAACUUGCAUGUUGACGCCCUAACCCUAUAGCUCAGAAAUAGGGGCAAACCCUAAUCCAUCAUGCCUGGUGCUCCUUUUUUUUUUUUUUUUUUUUUAAUUAAGGUAUAGUUGAUUUACAAGGUUGCAUUAGGAGUUCCCUGGUGGCUCAGAGGGAUCUGUCAUUGUCACUGCUGUGGUUCAGGUUUGAUCCCUGGCCCGGUAACUUCCACGUGCUGCAGGUGGAGCCAAAAAAAAAAAAAAAAAAAAAAAAAGGAAAGGAAAAAAAGAAUUGAGAGACGAGAUGAAAAUUAUAAGAGGUUGUAUGAGGAUUAGCUAGUUCACGCAAUUGACUUUUGCUCUGCUGGAAUAAUGACAUAAUUUUGAUGGUUGAACCACACGAGGUAAAACACAUGCCAGUACUUGAGCAAUUUUAUGAUUAUCUCCUUGAGAGGAUGGGGUGAAGUAUGAUUCUCCUCUGUGUAAUAGCAUAAUAAUCUGGCUUGAUUCUUUUUAGAAGUCAUUGAGGUAAGUUGAGUUAGUGUUUAAAUAGUGACCUCGAAGACAUGGACAAUGGCGAAGAGGACUCUGCUCGUCCUGAGACUGUGCUGAGCGCCGUGGCUUCUUAAUCAAAGCAACAGUUAGCUCGGACGACCCCUUUCCCCAAGGUUUUAUUUCAUCUUGCGGUGUACAUGGGAGAGCUUCUGAAGAGGCUGAGUGCCAAGCCAGGUGGUUUAGUUCUGUGGCCCACCUUUUUAAGGAGGGGAAAAGGAGAGUAAAUUUUAGCAAGUUUACUUUUGCUAAACUUUCUUAUUUAGUAGAGUAGUCCCUACAUUCAUUCAUAGGAGGUUUUUGAUUUUGUUUUGUUUUAAAUAGCUCAAUUGUAAGAAAAACUAUUGUAUACCCAAUAAAGGGCAACUGUAUAGAAAUGCUGGCCAUUUCCAUCCUUGGCAGUACCAGGUCUCUGAAGGUGUAGGAAGUAUGAAAUACUCCGAGUGAGAGAGUUGAUGAUUUCUGAACUGAAUUGUGGAAUUUGUUGUUUUAAGAAACUCUUGGACUAGGGGAAGAAACCAAAACAAAAUCCCAAAACAUUUCCAGUUCAACCCUCCUGCAACCUGGGAUCUUCUGUAAGGCUUUCAGGGUGGAUCCCAGGCUGUGUUGAGGGGCUUAGGAAUUCAGCAGACCUCUGGCUGCUCCUAGUCAUUGUGAGAAUACGUUGUUUACUGCCUGAGCUAUGACAGCAUAGGGUAGUGGUCUUCAGAGUGGGCUGCUGCUUCUCCAAGGAAUAUGAUGUGCAGAAUGAUCCAUUGGGAUGCAGGGGAAGCACCGCAAGUCCUGUUUUAAAGUUUUAGUAGUGGCUGGAUAUAUAUGUGAUUGUGCAUGUUUUGGGAUGUAUGCUUCUUGUCUACUUUGGGAGCUAGGCAGUUGUAAGAACACCCCUACAGUGGCUUAUGCGGCCUCUCUAACCCCUGACCUUACUAUUAGUCAUCUGCUCCCCUCUUCCCCCCUCCCCAUUCCAGCCCAUGUGGCCUUUUUGCUGAUCCUGAAAGGCUUCUGAACCGUGACCCACAGCAGCCUUUGCCCUGGUGGUUCCCUCUGCCUGUAAUGCCCUUCUCCAGAGGCUCCCCUUGAUGCUCUUGGCUAAUGCCCUCACCUCCUCAAAGGCUUUGCUCAAGAGUCGUUUCUCAGUGAGGCCUUUCUUGACCACCUUUUUAAUGCAGCAGCAUACUCUGAAGCCUCCUUGUAUUGCUCUGCUUUUCCUUUUUCCUUAGCACUCACUGCCUUUGGAGAAACUGUAUUAUAUCUGUUGGCUCUUGUUUCCCCAGCAGAAGUAAGAUCCUUGAGGCCAGGACUCGCCUUCUCCUUUGUUCACAGAUGCGUUCCUGUUGCUUAUUAGAACUGUGCCCGUUCAGUACAUUCUGCUGAAUGAUUAAAGCCUCUGGCGCGUAGUAGGCUCAGUAGGCUUCUUUUAAUGAAUGAAUAAAUUAUUUAGGGAAAUUGGAAAUAUAAAAAUGAAUAAAAUAUGCUCUAUGCCCUGAAGUAGUUCUAUGUAGCUGUGAAGACCAAACAUAAGAAAAUAAUUUUCAACUUGUGAGACCUGUGUGGUAGAAUCGUGAGGGGGCCGAGGGUGGAAUUGAGCCGAUCGUGACUGACUGUCUGUGGGCGGAGAAGGCAGGCAGACUCAGUGCCUCUGAAAGGGGUGAUGCUAAAUGUAAAAGCUUUAAAUACCCGGGAACCCACGCAAACCUAGAGCUUGUUUAUCCAAUGAGUGUGUAGGAUGGACUUUGAAAUGAGGAUUUUUAACAUCGAGAUUACGGUUUUAUUUUUUAUUUGUUUUUAAAGAAUGAGAUGAAUAAUUGUCUGAUCUUAAGAGAUAGAUCUUGCAGAAAUUUUCAAAUGCAUAUUUUUUUCCUGGGCAAACUAUUCACCAGAAAAGAAAGUGCUUUUCUACACACAUUUACCAACCCUUGGUUCCUUUCUCCCUCUUUCAGCCUGUACUUUCCAUGCCUUGGGCAAAAAGUUUGGGUUAUUUUCACCCACCUGAAAUCCCUAAGUAUUUAUUGGUUAAAAACUCAGAGUAGGUACCUAGCACUGUAAAAGAGUAGUAUCUCUUUAUGAAAAUAUGUAGGGGUGGAAAUUGCUUGCUGGAAAUGCAUUGAUCUC
rnacentral:lncRNA from 1 species